rnacentral:rRNA from 1 species
UACGUAGGGCGCGAGCGUUAAUCGGAAUUACUGGGCGUAAAGUGUGCGCAGGCGGCAGAGCAAGUCGAGUGUGAAAGCCCCGGGCUUAACUUGGGAAUUGCGCUCGAAACUACUUUGCUGGAGUGUGGCAGAGGAAGGUGGAAUUCCACGUGUAGCGGUGAAAUGCGUAGAGAUGUGGAGGAACACCAAUGGCGAAGGCAGCCGUCUGGGCCAACACUGACGCUCAUGCACGAAAGCGUGGGGAGCAAACAGG